rnacentral:rRNA from 2 species
CGACCCCAGGUCAGGCGGGACUACCCGCUGAGUUUAAG